GACGAACGCUGGCGGCGUGCCUAAUACAUGCAAGUCGAGCGAACCAAUAGGAGCUUGCUCCUGUUGGUUAGCGGCGGACGGGUGAGUAACACGUGGGCAACCUGCCUGUAAGACUGGGAUAACACCGGGAAACCGGUGCUAAUACCGGAUAAUCUUUUUCCUCUCAUGAGGAAAAACUGAAAGUCGGUUUCGGCUGACACUUACAGAUGGGCCCGCGGCGCAUUAGCUAGUUGGUGAGGUAACGGCUCACCAAGGCGACGAUGCGUAGCCGACCGGAGAGGGUGAUCGGCCACACUGGGACUGAGAACCGGCCCAGACUCCUACGGGAGGCAGCAGUAGGGAAUCUUCCACAAUGGACGAAAGUCUGAUGGAGCAACGCCGCGUGAGCGAUGAAGGCCUUCGGGUCGUAAAACUCUGUUGUUAGGGAAGAACAAGUACCGGAGUAACUGCCGGUGCCUUGACGGUGCCUAACCAGAAAGCCACGGCUAACUACGUGCCAGCCGCCGCCGUAA
rnacentral:rRNA from 1 species